GAACCUGCGGCUGGGGCUGGUGAGUGAGGAGAGGGACGGACAGCCCAGACAGCCACAGGGGUGGUCCAAACUUCGGUCCAGAAGGUCCUGAAGCCAUGUAUCUCACCCUUCCACGCGCACAAGUCACCUGAGACCACGCUCAACGAGGAUUCUCAUUCAGUAGGUCCAGGACAAGGGCCUCUGCACUUUGCCAGAAAAGGAGAUUCUGCUGACUUCUGGAAGCGCUCGUCAAUGCCAGGUAAGCUGGGCAUGGGAACGAGGGCAAGCAUGCCCCUCUGUGGGCAGACUCCACGGCCUUCCGGCCGCCUUUCCAGAGCCCUAUAGCCUGUACAGUCCUCGCAGAGGCCAGCUAGUGCCUGGGCGAGCCCAGGAUUGGCCGGUCAGGAGCGGCUGUCACCUGCUGCCACUUCCCUCCUAUUCUUCCUUCCCAUAUGGCCUCCCUGUGGGCAGCACAGGUGCCACCUGAGCCCCUGCAGUGUGGGCCAUCCCAUGCCUUCGAGUGCGGUAACCUGUCCACACCUGCGGGUCCUCACAGGGGGUGACUUGUGUAUUAUCCUCAGGGAAACACCAAGAAUGGAGGCUGGUGACAGGAAGCACUUACGGUGUCCUCCACACAUGGUCACCAUCAGCAGCUGUUCAGGCAGCUGUGCCACCGUUAACUCUGCAUGGCAUUGCCCACAUGGUUAUGUGGCUGGGAAUGUCCAUGGGAGGUGUCGCUCACCUCCCCGACCCCAUCGCUUCU